rnacentral:lncRNA from 1 species
GUGCCCGCGAUCGAACGGUCUAAAUUUGUUUCCACGCGCGUGGACAGUUUGGAUCCAUUCCCUCCUCAGGUGCGAUCGGACGGUCGCAAUUAAACGCGAUAAACGAUCUAGUUUUGUUCCCUCUUUAAAUGCAAUCGUACGAUUCAGAUUUAUUUCCUCUUUAAACAUGAUCGGACAGUCGAAAUCAAACGCGAUAAACGACCCUGAUUAAAGGGAGAUGGAUAUAAAUAUCUCACUUCACACGAGACUCUAAUCCUAGCCGUCAGCCCCCUGCCGGAG